rnacentral:rRNA from 1 species
UACGAAGGGGGCUAGCGUUGCUCGGAAUCACUGGGCGUAAAGGGUGCGUAGGCGGGUCUUUAAGUCAGGGGUGAAAUCCUGGAGCUCAACUCCAGAACUGCCUUUGAUACUGAGGAGCUUGAGUCCGGAAGAGGUGAGUGGAACUGCGAGUGUAGAGGUGAAAUUCGUAGAUAUUCGCAAGAACACCAGUGGCGAAGGCGGCUCACUGGUCCGGUAUUGACGCUGAGGUGCGAAAGCGUGGGGAGCAAACAGG